UACGUAGGGUGCGAGCGUUGCCCGGAUUUAUUGGGCGUAAAGGGCGCGUAGGCGGCUCCGUACGUCCCGCGUGAAAGCUCCCGGCUCACCUGGGAGAGGUCGCGGGAUACGGCGGGGCUCGAUCACGGUAGGGGGCCAUGGAAUUCCCGGUGUAGUGGUGGAAUGCGUAGAGAUCGGGAGGAACACCAGUGGCGAAGGCGGUGGCCUGGACCGAUGCUGACGCUGAGGCGCGAAAGCUAGGGGAGCAAACAGG
rnacentral:rRNA from 1 species